AACGUUGACCUCGGAUCAGGUAGGAAUACCCGCUGAACUUAAGCAUAUCAAUAA
rnacentral:rRNA from 1 species